rnacentral:rRNA from 1 species
CCUACGGGAGGCAGCAGUGGGGAAUAUUGCACAAUGGGGGAAACCCUGAUGCAGCGACGCCGCGUGAGUGAAGAAGUAUUUCGGUACGUAAAGCUCUAUCAGCAGGGAAGAAAAUGACGGUACCUGACUAAGAAGCCCCGGCUAACUACGUGCCAGCAGCCGCGGUAAUACGUCGGGGGCAAGCGUUAUCCGGAUUUACUGGGCGUAAAGGGAGCGUAGACGGCAGCGCAAGUCUGGAGUGAAAACCCAUGGCUUAACCAUGGAACUGCUUUGGAAACUGUGCAGCUAGAGUGCAGGAGAGGUAAGCGGAAUUCCUAGUGUAGCGGUGAAAUGCGUAGAUAUUAGGAGGAACACCAGUGGCGAAGGCGGCUUACUGGACUGUAACUGACGUUGAGGCUCGAAAGCGUGGGGAGCAAACAGGAUUAGAUACCCUUGUAGUC